GAUGAAGAACGUAGCGAAAUGCGAUAAGUAAUGCGAAUUGCAGAAUUUCCGUGAGUCAUCGAAUCUUUGAACGCACAUUGCGCCCGCCAGUAUUCUGGCGGGCAUGCCUGUUCGAGCGUCAUUUCAACCAUCAAGCCCUGCUUGCGUUGGGGUCCUGCGGCUGCCCGCAGGCCCUGAAAACCAGUGGCGGGCUCGCUAGUCACACCGAGCGCAGUAAUACAUCUCGCUUUGGGCGUGCGGCGGGUUCUUGCCGUUAAACACCCCCUUUUUACCAAGGUUGACCUCGGAUCAGGUAGGAAUUCCCGCUGAACUUAAGCAUAUCAAUAAGCGGAGGA
rnacentral:misc_RNA from 1 species